rnacentral:rRNA from 1 species
ACUAUUUAAUAUCCACAAUCUCAUCAACCUACUUGAACCCCUCAUCUAUACUGAACUAUUUUAUAUUUUUAUAAAAACAAUUAUGCUAGAACUAGUAACAAGAAAUUGCUUUUCUCCAAAAUGUAAACGUAAGCCAAAACGGACCACCCAUUGGCACCUACCGUAAAUGAUUAUACUAUAGCAACUAUCACCAAGAAAACCCUGUAGAUUUCUACGUUAACCUUACACCAGAACAUUAAAGGAAAGAUUAAAAGAGAAAGAAGGAACUCGGCAAAUUUUAGCCCCGCCUGUUUACCAAAAACAUCGCCUCUUGAAAUAUAUAAGAGGUCCAGCCUGCCCAGUGACAAAGUUCAACGGCCGCGGUACCCUAACCGUGCGAAGGUAGCAUAAUCACUUGUUCUUUAAAUAGGGACUAGUAUCAAAGGCACCACGAGGGCCAUACUGUCUCCUUUCUCCAAUCAGUGAAACUGAUCUCCCCAUGAAGAAGCGGGGAUAUACCUAUAAGACGAGAAGACCCCAUGGAGCUUCAAGCAAUGUGCCCACCCUGUUCAUUUACCAACUUAACAAAAUAUCCUGGACACUAGCUUUGGGUUGGGGGGACCGCGGAGCACAACUUAACCUCCACGACAAACGGGCCACGCCCUUAUCCACGAGUCACAACUCUAAGAAUCAAUAAACUGAUGUUUUAUGACCCGAUAAUUCGAUCAACGAACCAAGUUACCCUGGGGAUAACAGCGCAAUCUACUUCAAGAGCCCUUAUCGACAAGUAGGUUUACGACCUCGAUGUUGGAUCAGGGUAUCCCAGUGGUGCAGCCGCUAC